rnacentral:rRNA from 1 species
GAUGAACGCUGGCGGCGUGCCUAAUACAUGCCUUUCGAACGGAGCACCUUGGUGCUCAGUGGCGAACGGGUGAGGAGAACAUAGGUAACCUGCCCCUCCGAGGGGGUCAACAGCUGGAAACGGCUGCUAAGACCGCAUAGACGCAUUCAGGGCAUCCUGGAUGCGCUAAAUGACCGGAUGGUCAGCGGGGGGAUGGACCUAUGCAGUAUUAGCUGGUUGGCGGGGCAACGGCCCACCAAGGCGACGAUACUUAGCCGGCCUGAGAGGGCGGACGGCCACACUGGGACUGAGACACGGCCCAGACUCCUACGGGAGGCAGCAGUAGGGAAUUUUCGGCAAUGGGGGAAACCCUGACCGAGCAACGCCGCGUGAACGAAGAAGGCCUUCGGGUCGUAAAGUUCUGUUGUACGGGAAGAACGUCGGAUGGAGGAAAUGCCAUGCGAGUGACGGUACCGAACAUAGAAAGCCACGGCUAACUACGUGCCAGCAGCCGCGGUAAUACGUAGGUGGCGAGCGUUAUCCGGAAUCAUUGGGCGUAGAGAGGGAGCAGGCGGUGAUACAGGUCUGGAGGUGAAAGCCCGAAGCUAAACUUCGGGAAGCCCCGGAAACCGGAUCACUGGAGUGCGGAAGAGGAUCGUGGAAUUCCAUGUGUAGCGGUGAAAUGCGUAGAUAUAUGGAGGAACACCAGUGGCGAAGGCGACGGUCUGGUCCGCAACUGACGCUCAGUCCCGAAAGCGUGGGGAGCAAAUAGGAUUAGAUACCCUAGUAGUCCACGCCGUAAACGAUCGAUACUAAGUGUCGGGAGUCAGAUCCCGGUGCCGAAACUAACGCGCUAAGCAUUCCGCCUGUGGAGUAUGCACGCAAGUGUGAAACAUAAAGGAAUUGACGGGGGCCCGCACAAGCGGUGGAGUAUGUGGUUUAAUUCGACGCAACGCGAAGAACCUUACCAGGCCUUGACAUCCCUUGCAAAGCUGUAGAGAUACAGUAGAGGUUAUCAAGGUGACAGGUGGUGCAUGGUUGUCGUCAGCUCGUGUCGUGAGAUGUUGGGUUAAGUCCCGCAACGAGCGCAACCCUUGUCUUCAGUUACCAAUAUCAAGUUAGGGACUCUGGAGAGACUGCUGGUGAUAAACCGGAGGAAGGUGGGGAUGACGUCAAAUCAUCAUGCCCCUUAUGGCCUGGGCUACACACGUACUACAAUGGCUGUUACAACGUGAAGCAACACUGUGAAGUGAAGCGGAACACUGAAAGACAGUCUCAGUUCGGAUUGAAGUCUGCAACCCGACUUCAUGAAGCUGGAAUAGCUAGUAAUCGCGGAUCAGCAUGCCGCGGUGAAU